rnacentral:misc_RNA from 1 species
UCCGAGUUGACCCCGGCAGUCUCCCAUGAGUCCCCGCCAUGACGCGCUGGCAACAUAGGACAGGGGUUGCGCUCAUUGCGGGACUUAACCCAACAUUUCACAACACGAGCUGACGACAGCCAUGCACCACCUGUGCUACACCCUCGAAGGCGACUGCUUUUCGGCAGCUUGCAGUAGCAUGUCAAGCCCAGGUAAGGUUCUUCGCGUUGCAUCGAAUUAAGCCACGUGCUCCGCCGCUUGUGCGGGCCCCCGUCAAUUCCUUUGAGUUUUAGCCUUGCGGCCGUACUCCCCAGGCGGGGUACUUCCUGCGUUAGCGCCGGCACCCAAGGGGUCGCUCCCCCAGGCACCUAGUACCCAUCGUUUACGGCGUGGACUAC